rnacentral:rRNA from 1 species
UCGGGUCCGAGUUGUAAUUUGUAGAGGAUGCUUUUGGUGCGGUGCCUUCCGAGUUCCCUGGAACGGGACGCCAUAGAGGGUGAGAGCCCCGUCUGGUUGGAUACCAAUCCUCUGUAAAGCUCCUUCGACGAGUCGAGUAGUUUGGGAAUGCUGCUCUAAAUGGGAGGUAUAUGUCUUCUAAAGCUAAAUACCGGCCAGAGACCGAUAGCGCACAAGUAGAGUGAUCGAAAGAUGAAAAGCACUUUGAAAAGAGGGUUAAACAGUACGUGAAAUUGUUGAAAGGGAAGCGCUUGUGACCAGACUUGGGCAUGGUUAAUCAUCCAGCGUUCUCGCUGGUGCACUUGGCCUGCCCAGGCCAGCAUCAGUUCGGUGCGGGGGAUAAAGGCUUCGGGAAUGUGGCUCCUCCGGGAGUGUUAUAGCCCGUUGUGCAAUACCCUGCGCUGGACUGAGGUUCGCGCAUCUGCAUGGAUGCUGGCGUAAUGGUCAUCAGCGACCCGUCUUGAAACACGGACCAAGGAGUCGUCCUCGUAUGCGAGUGUUCGGGUGUUAAACCCCUACGCGUAAUGAAAGUGAACGCAGGUGAGAGCUUCGGCGCAUCAUCGACCGAUCCUGAUGUUCUCGGAUGGAUUUGAGUAAGAGCAUACGGGGCCGGACCCGAAAGAAGGUGAACUAUGCCUGUAUAGGGUGAAGCCAGAGGAAACUCUGGUGGAGGCUCGCAGCGGUUCUGACGUGCAAAUCGAUCGUCAAAUAUGGGCAUGGGGGCGAAAGACUAAU